rnacentral:tRNA from 1 species
UUCUUGUAGUUGAUUUUUUACAACGGUGAUUUUUCAAGUCAUUGGUCUUGGAUAGAAUCCAAGCAGGAAU